AUUGAACGCUGGCGGCAGGCCUAACAUAUGCAAGUCGAGCGAGCGGCGGACGGGUGAGUAAUGCGUGGUAACUGCCUAUUAGAGGGGGAUAACUAAUGGAAACGAUAGCUAAUACAGAUUCUAGUAGAUGACCUGCGUUGUAUUAGCUAGUAGGCAGGGUAAUGGCCUACCUAGGCAACGAUACAUAGCCGACCUGAGAGGGUGAUCGGCCACACUGGGACUGAGACACGGCCCAGACUCCUACGGAGGCAGCAGUGGGGAAUAUUGCACAAUGGGCGCAAGCCUGAUGCAGUCAUGCCGCGUGUAUGAAGAAGGCCCUAGGGUUGUAAAGUACUUUCAGUCGGGAGGCGUUACCGACAGAAUAAGCACCGGCUAACUCCGUGCCAGCAGCCGCGGUAAUUC
rnacentral:rRNA from 1 species